rnacentral:tRNA from 1 species
GGCUUCAUAGUGUAGUGGUUAUCACCUCGGAUUCUGAGUACCAUGCUCUUUAUUCCGGUAACCCCAGUUCGAGUCUGGGUGGGGCCU